rnacentral:rRNA from 1 species
AUUGAACGCUGGCGGCAUGCCUUACACAUGCAAGUCGAACGGCAGCGGGGGAGAAGCUUGCUUUUCCUGCCGGCGAGUGGCGAACGGGUGAGUAAUACAUCGGAACGUGCCCUGUAGUGGGGGAUAACUAGUCGAAAGAUUAGCUAAUACCGCAUACGACCUGAGGGUGAAAGUGGGGGACCGCAAGGCCUCAUGCUGGAGGAGCGGCCGAUGUCUGAUUAGCUAGUUGGUGGGGUAAAGGCCUACCAAGGCGACGAUCAGUAGCUGGUCUGAGAGGACGGUCAGCCACACUGGGACUGGGACACGGCCCAGACUCUUACGGGAGGCAGCAGUGGGGAAUUUUGGACAAUGGGCGAAAGACUGAUCCAGCAAUGCCGCGUGUGUGAAGAAGGCCUUCGGGUUGUAAAGCACUUUUGUCCGGAAAGAAAUGCCUCUGGUUAAUACCUGGGGUCGAUGACGGUACCGGAAGAAUAAGGACCGGCUAACUACGUGCCAGCAGCCGCCGUAA